rnacentral:lncRNA from 1 species
GUUGAGAUCAAAUCCCCUCUUCCUCUUAUGUGCAGAAGAUGAACCCGAGAUCUCCCCAGAAGAUGAACCCGAGGUCUCCCCAUCUUCGGUGUCGCAAAAUGCAAUGAGUGGUAUACCGAAUACAUAUAGAAAGAGAGAGAAUAUAACUACUGGAAUUAUAAAGUUUCCCAUUAUUUCUAAGAAGAAAACUUUCAUCUUUCGUGUAGUUUGUUCUGUUCCUCUGUGCAUCUCUGUGAUGGGUAAAUCCCCAUGAAAAAGGGGCAACUUUCGUGUAGUUUGUGAUUGGAUGUAACUGUUAAGAUUUUCUCUCGGAUAAAUCUUUCUCUUAAUAGAUCUCAUUUUCUUCCUCAAUCUUCGGAGAAUGCGGCGUUGUAUUAUUGUAAGUUCUCUCUUCCGAACAUUUCCUGAAAGUAGACGACAAGUUUUAAAUCUUAAUGCAGACAUGGCAUAUCUCGUUGAAUCAGUCUUUUUCACCACAAAGGGGCAAUGGGAAUCGAACCCAAUUCUAUUCUUAUUCUUCCGUGAACCCCUCCACGAAUAACAAAAAAACAUUUAUCUUAUCUACGAGAAUUUCUGCUUUGCUGCUUUUCUACUUGGCUGUACGACAACUGAACACCAAGUCAAUCUCGAUGAAAGAAAAGGAGAAGCCAAUCCAUUUCUUUGAUCACUUGUUAUAGGUAAAGGUACUAGAGGGAAAUGCUCAAGUCAAGCUCAGUCGAAAGGUCCGAGUGAAUAUUGACUCAUCUUAAAUAACCUAUUCUCGUAUUUCAAAUAACUAGUCUUUGAGAAGAGAAGGAAAGCGAAGCUAACGACAUGAAGAAAUAGAGUGAAAGGGAAGGCAUAUUUUAUAUGAAAGUAGGGGUGUUCUAUUUCUAGGAAGCUUCAGCUCGCUCUUCUCAUGCGCAAGUCUCAGUAGGGCUUCUCUUCUAUUGAAUAAGUUAUAUAGUCUGAUAUUCUAUUUCCCAUCGCUGAAUGCUGACUUAUUAACUAGAUUCCGAGCUUCCUGCUACUCUCAUUGUCAAGCAAAGACAUGCGGAUAAGCUUCAAGCGAAGAACAGAGCGUCAGCCCUGCCUUAAGAGUAAGAAAGCGGGUAAGAUUCCACUACCCCUGAUGAUGAAGAUGUUGAUGAGGAGACCUGCCCAAAAAUCCUUUUGACAGCGGAUGAUAAGAGAAGACUGAGGUGGCCAUGGCACAAAACACUGAUUGUGAAACUGCUGGGUAAAACCAUAGGGUUCAAUUAUUUGAGUUUGCGAUUAAGGCAGAUGUGGUCUCCAAAAGAAGAGUUGAAGCUUAUUGAUUUAGGGAAACUACUUAGCCAAGUUUGCUAACCUAGAGGAUUAUGAUUAUGUUCUGAGUGAAGGACCAUGGAUGAUUGCAAACCACUACCUCACUAUCCGCAAAUGGUGUCCUUCUUUCCAACCAGAGGAGGAUGCCAUUAAGAAUCUGGCUGUAUGGGCUACGCUAAACCUCUCUAUUGAAUAUUUUGAUCAACCUUUCCUGGAAAGGCUUGGAAGCAAAAUAGGACGGAUUGUCAAAGUUGACAAGACUACUUCUUGGCGGAAAGAGGGAAGUAUGCUAGGUUGUGCAUUGAAGUGGAUCUAAGGAAGCCAUUACUUUUGAAAUAUAGGCUAAGAAGGCGCAUACGGAGGAUUGAGUAUGAAGGGAUAGACCUCAUCUGCUUUAGGUGUGGGUGUUAUGGACAUAGAGAGGAGACAUGCGAGGUGGGCAGACCAGCUACAGUAGCUCAUGAUCCGGGUCAAGAAGAUGAAAGGAUCCGACCCGUGACCCGAAAUAAGGAGCCUACACCCGAAGCAAUGUCCACGUAUGGACCCUGGAUGCUGGUUCAGCGGAACAGAUACGGGGCUAGGUCUUUAUUCCCUCCUCAACCUCCUAAUCCAAUUUAAGGUUUCCCUAUUCUCCUUUCGACUUUUCAGACCGCUGCAAUACCUCCAGGAGGGGGUAUUCGGUGAAGACCCUGAUCCGAUGUGCCUGAAAAUGCGGCUUCACACUCGGCGGUCCACUCGAAAUCAUUCUUUUUACGGAGCAGCUCGAAUAAAGGUCGGCAUCGCUCGGAGGAUCUAGAGAUGAACCUAUUGAGUGCCGCAAUCCGCCCCGCUAGUUUCUGAACCUGCUUCACACUGCUGGGUGAAGGCAUCUCUGAUAGAGCUCGGAUCUGCUCAGGAUUGGCCUCAAUUCCUCUCUGGAUUACCAGAGACCCCAGGAAUGGAAUUUCCGAUAGCCCUCAUGCACAUUUCUCCGGGUUCAAGCGCAUCUUAGACUCUCUGAGCCGAGCAAAGGUCGCCCCCAAAUAAUCCAAAUGCUGCUCUCGCUUGCGGCUUUUUACUAACAUGUCGUCGAUAUAUACCUUCCAUUGUCGUGCCGAUCAUGUCGUGAAACAUCUUGUUCACCAGCCCCCUAUCUAGUAAGUAUGUGGCACCCGCAUUCUUGAGCCCGAAGGGCAUUACUCUAUAACAGAAUAGCCCUUGCUCAGUGAUAAAC